GGUCAUGCACUCUUAAGAGGUAAUUAUAUUGCUACGUUUACCUGUUCCGGUAUUUGGUGUUUGCUUUGUGUGACAUCUUGUUGAUUCCGUGUACUGAUGUUGUUGCUACUAUUGUUGGAUGCCUCUUGCCAGGAUUAGUGCGGCGUGCGGCGGACUGUGUUCUGCAAGGGCUCUUGACUCAAGACUGAUUCAGACAAAUUGGUAACUGAUUAGUUUACCCUUGAUGCACUAGCUUUCUUCACAACAUAGUCAUCGACGACCACAACUACAAUGCUCUAAAGACAAUGUACAAGAAAUGCUCCGCUGCACAAAAAUGGAGGAAGAACAUAGAAGAGAAUUAGGUGUUUUGUCCUCUAUUUCAAGAUAUUUUCCCAAUCCGUCGAGGGCCAAGAGAUUCAUCCCGCAACAAGUUGAACAUGGUCUACACGGGAAACAAACCACCAAUAAAUAUACGAGCAGAAGAACUAGCUUCAUCUCUCUACGACUCUACCACUACAUCACAGAGACGAACCAAUUAGCUGGAGUAUCAACAUCUCGGGUCUAAGAAGAGAACAAGAGUUUUGCAAUUAUGUAUCCAGUAGCUAUUGUCACCACCUAAUGUAGAUCACUUAUGCAUUUUCUACCACUACAUCACAGAGACAAACAAAGCUAGAGUAUCAACAUCUCGGGUCUAAGAAGAGAACAAGAGCCUACUGUAGAUCGCUUAUGCAUGUACCAACUAGAUGUAUCCUUUCCUUGCAAUGAAUCAAGUCUGAUCAUUUAUGCA
rnacentral:lncRNA from 1 species